UACGUAGGGUGCAAGCGUUAAUCGGAAUUACUGGGCGUAAAGCGUGCGCAGGCGGUUAUGCAAGACAGAUGUGAAAUCCCCGGGCUCAACCUGGGAACUGCAUUUGUGACUGCAUGGCUAGAGUGCGGCAGAGGGGGAUGGAAUUCCGCGUGUAGCAGUGAAAUGCGUAGAGAUGUGGAGGAAUACCGAUGGCGAAGGCAGCCCCCUGGGAUAACACUGACGCUCAUGCACGAAAGCGUGGGGAGCAAACAGG
rnacentral:rRNA from 1 species